GCGUGCGAGGCGAAUACGGGUUUGUCGCGGCUGCCUGUAAAGCAGUUGCCCGCAAGGGCACAGUGGGUUCGAAUCCCUCCGCACGCACCG
rnacentral:tRNA from 1 species